rnacentral:rRNA from 1 species
GAUGAACGCUGGCGGCGUGCCUAAUACAUGCAAGUCGAACGAGGUUGCUUCGGCAGCCUAGUGGCGAACGGGUGAGUAACACGUAGGUAACCUGCCUUUUAGUUUGGGAUACCCAGGGGAAACCUUGGCUAAUACCGGAUAUGAGCUCCAAAGGCAUCUUUGGGGUUUGAAAGGGGCUUCGGCCUCGCUUUAAGAUGGACCUGCGGCGCAUUAGCUAGUUGGUGAGAUAACAGCCCACCAAGGCGAGGAUGCGUAGCCGAUCUGAGAGGAUGAACGGCCACAUUGGAACUGAGACACGGUCCAGACUCCUACGGGAGGCAGCAGUAAGGAGUUUUCGGCAAUGGGGGAAACCCUGACCGAGCAACGCCGCGUGAGUGAUGACGGUCUUUUGAUUGUAAAGCUCUGUUGUUAGGGACGAAUGGCAUCCUUAGGUAAUGAAGGGUGUUUGACGGUACCUGACCAGAAAGCCACGGCUAACUACGUGCCAGCAGCCGCGGUAAUACGUAGGUGGCAAGCGUUAUCCGGAAUUAUUGGGCGUAAAGAGUGAGCAGGCGGCAGUUUAAGUCUGAAGUGAAAGCGUGAGGCUCAACCUCAUAUAGCUUUGGAAACUGAACAGCUAGAGUGCGGGAGAGGUAAGCGGAAUUUCAUGUGUAGCGGUAAAAUGCGUAGAUAUAUGAAGGAACACCAGUGGCGAAGGCGGCUUACUAGCCCGAUACUGACGCUCAGUCACGAAAGCGUGGGUAGCAAAUAGGAUUAGAUACCCUAGUAGUCCACGCCGUAAACGAUGAGAACUAAAUAUUGCUGAAAGGCAGUGUUGUAGCUAACGCAUUAAGUUCUCCGCCUGGGGAGUACGCUCGCAAGAGUGAAACUUAAAGGAAUUGACGGGGGCCCGCACAAGCAGUGGAGCAUGUGGUUUAAUUCGACGCUACGCGAAGAACCUUACCAGGGCUUGACAUGGCGCUUAAAGCUUUAGAGAUAGAGUCAUAUACAAACGCACACAGGUGGUGCAUGGUUGUCGUCAGCUCGUGUCGUGAGAUGUUGGGUUAAGUCCCGCAACGAGCGCAACCCUUGUCCUUAGUUGCCAUCAUUUAGUUGGGAACUCUAGGGAGACUGCCGAUGUAAGUCGGAGGAAGGUGGGGAUGAUGUCAAAUCAUCAUGCCCUUUAUGUCCUGGGCGACACACGUGCUACAAUGGCCGGUACAAAGGGACGCAAUACCGCGAGGUGGAGCAAAUCUCAUAAAGCCGGUCUCAGUCCGGAUUGGAGUCUGCAACUCGACUCCAUGAAGCUGGAAUUGCUAGUAAUCGCAGAUCAGCCAUGCUGCGGUGAAUACGUUCUCGGGCCUUGUACACACCGCCCGUCAAACUAUGAGAGCUGGUAAUACUCGAAGUCGUUAUCCUAACCGCAAGGAGGGAGACGCCUAAGGUAGGACUGGUGAUUGGAGU